UGGGGAAUUUUGGACAAUGGGGGAAACCCUGAUCCAGCGACGCCGCGUGUGUGAAGAAGGCCUGCGGGUUGUAAAGCACUUUCGGUGGGAACGAAAUAUGCCGGGCUAAUACCCCGGUAGGCUGACGUUACUCAAUGAAGAAGCACCGGCUAACUCUGUGCCAGCAGCCGCGGUAAUACAGAGGGUGCGAGCGUUAAUCGGAAUUACUGGGCGUAAAGCGCACGUAGGUGGCGACGUAAGUCGGGUGUGAAAGCCCCGGGCUCAACCUGGGAACCGCAUUCGAGACUGCGUUGCCGGAGUACGGAAGAGGAGGGCGGAAUUCCCGGUGUAGCGGUGAAAUGCGUAGAUAUCGGGAGGAACAUCAGUGGCGAAGGCGGCCCUCUGGUCCAGUACUGACACUCAAGUGCGAAAGCGUGGGGAGCAAACAGGAUUAGAUACCCACGUAGUCCCUGAGCGGGCUGGCAAGGCGCAU
rnacentral:rRNA from 1 species